GACGAACGCUGGCGGCGUGCUUAACACAUGCAAGUCGAACGGAAAGGCCCUGCUUUUGUGGUGUGCUCGAGUGGCGAACGCGUGCGUAACACGUGAGUAACCUGCCCUUGACUUUGGGAUAACUUCAGGAAACUGGGGCUAAUACCGUAUAGGAGCUCCUGCUGCAUGGUGGGGGUUGGAAAUUUUCGGCGGUUGGGGCUGGACGCGCGGCUUAUCAGCUUGUUGGUGGGGUAGUGGCUUACCAACGCUUUGACGGGUAGCCGGCCUGGGAGGGUGACCGGCCACAAUGGGACUGAGAUACGGCGCAGAGUCCUACGUGAGGCAGCAGUGGGGAAUAUUGCACAAUGGGCGGAAGCCUGAUGCAGAAACGCCGGGUGCGGGAUGACGGCCUUCGGGUUGUAAACCGCUUUCGCCUGUGACGAAGCGUGAGUGACGGUAAUGGGUGAAGAAGCACCGGCUAACUACGUG
rnacentral:rRNA from 1 species